rnacentral:rRNA from 1 species
CCUACGGGUGGCAGCAGUGAGGAAUAUUGGUCAAUGGGCGAGAGCCUGAACCAGCCAAGUCGCGUGAAGGAUGAAGGUUCUAUGUUUCGUAAACCUCUUUUAUCUGGGAAUAAAGUGUGGAACGUGUUCCCUUUUGUAUGUACCAUAUGAAUAAGCAUCGGCUAACUCCGUGCCAGCAGCCGCGGUAAUACGGAGGAUGCGAGCGUUAUCCGGAUUUAUUGGGUUUAAAGGGUGCGGAGGGGGUUAAUUAAGUCAGCGGUGAAAGUUUGUGGCUCAACCAUAAAAUUGCCGUUGAAACUGGUUGACUUGAGUAUGUUUGAGGUAGGCGGAAUGCGUGGUGUAGCGGUGAAAUGCAUAGAUAUCACGCAGAACUCCGAUUGCGAAGGCAGCUUACUAAACUAUAACUGACACUGAAGCACGAAAGCGUGGGGAUCAAACAGGAUUAGAUACCCCAGUAGUC